rnacentral:rRNA from 1 species
GAUGAACGCUGGCGGCGCGCCUAAUACAUGCAAGUCGAGCGAAUGGAUUAAGAGCUUGCUCUUAUGAAGUUAGCGGCGGACGGGUGAGUAACACGUGAGUAACCUGCCCAUAAGACUGGGAUAACUCCGGGAAACCGGGGCUAAUACCGGAUAAUAUUUUGAACUGCAUGGUUCAAAAUUGAAAGGCGGCUUCGGCUGUCACUUAUGGAUGGACCCGCGUCGCAUUAGCCAGUUGGUGAGGUAACGGCUCACCAAGGCAACGAUGCGUAGCCGACCUGAGAGGGUGAUCGGCCACACUGGGACUGAGACACGGCCCAGACUCCUACGGGAGGCAGCAGUAGGGAAUCUUCCGCAAUGGACGAAAGUCUGACGGAGCAACGCCGCGUGAGUGAUGAAGACUUUCGGGUCGUAAAACUCUGUUGUUAGGGAAGAACAAGUGCUAGUUGAAUAAGCUGGCACCUUGACGGUACCUAACCAGAAAGCCACGGCUAACUACGUGCCAGCCGCCGCAGUAA